rnacentral:rRNA from 1 species
GACCUCAAUCCGGAGAUCCA